rnacentral:rRNA from 1 species
CUUAGUAACGGCGAGUGAAGCGGUAAAAGCUCAAAUUUGAAAUCUGGUACUUUCAGUGCCCGAGUUGUAAUUUGUAGAAUUUGUCUUUGAUUAGGUCCUUGUCUAUGUUCCUUGGAACAGGACGUCAUAGAGGGUGAGAAUCCCGUUUGGCGAGGAUACCUUUUCUCUGUAAGACUUUUUCGAAGAGUCGAGUUGUUUGGGAAUGCAGCUCAAAGUGGGUGGUAAAUUCCAUCUAAAGCUAAAUAUUGGCGAGAGACCGAUAGCGAACAAGUACAGUGAUGGAAAGAUGAAAAGAACUUUGAAAAGAGAGUGAAAAAGUACGUGAAAUUGUUGAAAGGGAAGGGCAUUUGAUCAGACAUGGUGUUUUUUGCAUGCACUCGCCUCUCGUGGGCUUGGGCCUCUCAAAAAUUUCACUGGGCCAACAUCAAUUCUGGCAGUAGGAUAAAUCAUUAAGAAUGUAGCUACCUCGGUAGUGUUAUAGCUUAUUGGAAUACUGCUAGCUGGGAUUGAGGACUGCGCUUCGGCAAGGAUGUUGGCAUAAUGGUUAAAUGCCGCCCGUCUUGAAACACGGACC